rnacentral:pre_miRNA from 1 species
UUUUUGGUACAAUAUUUUCCUUCAUUUUAUGUGUACCUAUAUUAGGAAGGUAGUUCAUUACAUAUAUUACUUUUUUUAGUGGUACACAACUUUGUAACCUUAUAAAUUGGGGCUCAUGUGAGAAAAUACUGAAUUUCAAUGUAUUUCAGAGCCCUCAUGGCUUAUUGAAGAUGUGUACAAGAGCCCCAAUUUAUAAAGUUACAAAGCUGUGUACUAUUAAAAAAAAUAACAAAUGAAUGAAUCACUUUCCUAAUAUGGAUACACAUAAAAGGAAAUAAGAUAUUGUACACAAAAA